rnacentral:tRNA from 2 species
GGCCCGUUCGUCUAGGGGUUAGGACGUCAGGUUUUCAUCCUGGUAACAGCAGUUCGAGUCUGCUACGGGCUACCA